GAGACCAACCCAUCUCAGAGGGAGGUAUUCUGCUUUCAAGACUGCCUGUGGGAAAAGGACUUCUUCCUUGCUAGCUGGGAGCAGCUGUUGAACUGCC